GGGGAUGUUAUGGAUUCGACAUAUGUAGUUGAGCACUGGUUGCAUCUCGUAGGUUACGUCUACGUAAAAACGUUACAGUUAAAUUAUAACUGCAAAAAAUAAUAAUAAUUCUUACGCUUUAGCUGCUUAAAAACAGUUUUUAGUGUGAUCCGUUUAGCUCCGCUCAAGGGUUAAAUUGGGUCUUAAAAAAUUGAGCUACGUCUAGUUGCACCACCUGAGCAACUAGAAAGAGACUUCCAGGCUAGCCGUUAAGGUUAGCUCAGUCAUACAGCGUUCUUAACGGUGAACUAUAAAUAGUAUGACUAUGGAUGUAGAUGCUUGUGUGGCAGUAUGUAUGGACAGGAGUUCGAUUCUCCUCAUCUCCAUUU
rnacentral:tmRNA from 1 species